UACGGAGGGUGCGAGCGUUGUCCGGAAUCACUGGGCGUAAAGGGCGCGUAGGCGGCCUGGUAAGUAGGGGGUGAAAUCCUGCGGCUUAACCGCAGGGCUGCCUUCUAAACUGUCAGGCUCGAGCACGGUAGAGGCAGAUGGAAUUCCCGGUGUAGCGGUGAAAUGCGCAGAUAUCAGGAGGAACACCAAUUGCGAAGGCAGCUCGCUGGGACGUGACUGACGCUGAGACGCGAAAGCGUGGGGAGCAAACAGG
rnacentral:rRNA from 1 species